GUCGCGUGUGUGAAGAAGGCCUUAGGGUUGUAAAACACUUUCAAUAAAGAAAGAAGAGAUAAAAAAAUAAAAUUUUUUUAUUUUUGACGAUAUUUAUAAAAGAAGCACCGGCUAACUUCGUGCCAGCAGCCGCGGUAAUACGAGGGGUGCUAGCGUUAAUCAAAUUUACUGGGCGUAAAGGGUGUGUAGGUUGUUAAUUUAAAUUAAUUAUUAAAUUUAUUAAGAAAAACUUAAUAAAAUAAUUAAUACUAAUUUUCUUGAGUAUAAAAGAAGUAAAUAGAAUUCUAAAAGUAGCAGUGAAAUGCUUAGAUAUUUAGAAGAAUACUAAUGGCGAAGGCAUUUUUCUAUUUUAUACUGACACUGAUACACGAAAGCAUGGGUAGCAAACAGGAUUAGAUACCCUGGUAGUCCAUGCAGUAAACGUUGUCAACUAUUUAUUAAAUAACAUAUUAUAUAAAAAAAAUUUUCAUGUUAAAAAUAUUUAUGUAAAUUUAGUGAAAAAGCUAACGCGUUAAGUUGACCGCCUGGGGAUUACGACCGCAAG
rnacentral:rRNA from 1 species